AGCCGGGAUCGCCCAUAAUCGUCCGGAAUGAUGAAGAUGGAAGCAAUGCCUGAAUUAACCGGUUAGGGAGGUAACGGCUGUGAGAUGUUGGUUAAACAGGCUACAAGAGUUUGCUACCUUUCAGGAUGUACACCUUGUUUCUGCUUCCCAUCUGCCAGAAAAGGGAGGCACAGUCUGUGGCAUCGUCUGUGGAGAAAAAACGGAGUUGCAAAAUCUUAAACAAGAAUCAAAACUGAAACAGACUUUUGCAGGCAGAAAGACUACUAAAUGGCCUUUAAACUUCUGCGUAAAUGUCUUACCUUCCAAGUUCCAACAGAGUUAAAGCAUGUGGCAGCGAAAAUUGUUCAACCUCGAUUUGGAAACGAGACGGAAGUCAACAAACUUGUAUAUACAUGUCAGCAAAACAUACCGAAAUCUUUGACAAAGAGUAGCUACGAUUACCACUCAAUCAAUGUGUUUUAAAGAACAGACCUUGAAGAUGCUGUGUGCAAAAUAUCAUCUAAAAAUGUCAACUAUCUAUCGCCAUAUGCAGUCUUGAACAUCAAAGUGAUCCA